GGACCCGCACAAGCGGUGGAGCAUGUGGUUUAAUUCGAUGCAACGCGAAAAACCUUACCUACUCUUGACAUACUUGGAAGCUCUUGUAAUGAGAGUGUGCCUUUUGGAACCAAGAUACAGGUGCUGCAUGGCUGUCGUCAGCUCGUGUCGUGAGAUGUUCCGUUAAGUCGGAUAACGAGCGCAACCCUUACCCUUAUUUGCCAGCGAUUCGGUCGGGAACUAUAAGGGGACUGCCGGUGAUAAACCGGAGGAAGGUGAGGACGACGUCAAGUCAUCAUGGCCCUUACGAGUAGGGCUACACACGUGCUACAAUGGGGAAUACAGACGGACGCUAAGCCGCGAGGUGGUGCUAAUCCUAGAAAGAUGUCUCAGUUCGGAUUGUCGUCUGCAACUCGACGGCAUGAAGUCGGAAUC
rnacentral:rRNA from 1 species